GUAGGUGAACCUGCGGAAGGAUCAUUACUGAAUAGGGACUCCAGUCCCUGGGACAGCGCCCCCGUCGACCCCUCGGGGUCCCCGGGUGGUCCAGCCCCUUACCCUCUGUUUACCUUACCUCUGUUGCUUUGGCAAGGCCCCUGCCCGGGUGGUUCCGGGCUUGGGCUCUGCCAGAGGGCCCCAACUCGUGGAUAGUUUAUGUUUGUCUGAGUACGAUAUAAUCGUUUACAACUUUUAACAAUGGAUCUCU
rnacentral:misc_RNA from 1 species